rnacentral:rRNA from 1 species
UACGUAGGGGGCAAGCGUUGUCCGGAAUCAUUGGGCGUAAAGCGCGUGUAGGCGGCAGGGCAUGUCGGAUGUGAAAUCCCGUGGCUCAACCACGGAAGUGCACCCGAAACUGCCCAGCUUGAGUCUCGGAGAGGAAGGCGGAAUGCUUGGUGUAGAGGUGAAAUUCGUAGAUAUCAAGCAGAACACCGGUGGCGAAGGCGGCCUUCUGGACGAUGACUGACGCUGAGACGCGAAAGCGUGGGGAGCAAACAGG